CAGAGACUGGCCAAUGGCUUGUUGAGCUUCUUAAGCCUCCGCCAUUGGGAUGAUGGCCUUUGCUCAUCUCUGGACAAAUGGGCGUGAUGCUGUGCUGUUUGCUGGUCUCACCUGUUCUCCAUCAGCUCAUCAGAUCAGUACAUCUAUCAAGGCUCCCAGUCACAAGCUGCCAGAUCGUUCUUGUUUACCAUAUGCCCUGUCAGUUCCAGCACAGCUGUCCACCCCACUGCAGAAGUUCUGCUCACAGCUCCUGCUGCCAGUCUCCCCGGCCUCCCUUCAAGCGACCUCACCUUCCCCACCGCUUGCCCUACGCACUUUUCUGGAAGGCUGAUCAAGAAUCAGUAAAGACGACUGUUCCCACAUCAGAACUGUGUCUGUGUCUUGAGUCAGCUUUUGGGGCUCAUUCCAGAGUUUUAGCUCAAUCUUGGCUCUGCCCACUAUUAAUGUUUGAUGCCACUUGAAGGUCAACAGGUUUUUUUUUUUUUUUUUUAACAUUAAAGGCCCUUAAUUGAGCCCCCCAGGGCCACAAACCCAUAGUGUUGAUAUGUCAUGUCUAUUUGAU